UACAGAGGGUGCGAGCGUUGUUCGGAAUUACUGGGCGUAAAGCGCGCGCAGGUGGCCUGCUAAGUCAGAUGUGAAAUCUCCCGGCCCAACUGGGAGCGGCCAUUUGAUACUGGUGAGCUUGAGGGCAGCAGAGGUCGGUGGAAUUCCUGGUGUAGUGGUGAAAUGCGUAGAGAUCAGGAGGAACACCGGUGGCGAAGGCGGCCGACUGGGCUGCCUCUGACGCUGAGGCGCGAAAGCUCGGGGAGCGAACGGG
rnacentral:rRNA from 1 species